UCGACGGUGAAGAGGAGCUUGCUCCUUGGAUCAGUGGCGAACGGGUGAGUAACACGUGAGCAAUCUGCCCUUGACUCUGGGAUAACUGCGGGAAACUGUAGCUAAUACCGGAUAUUACCUUGGAAGGCAUCUUCUGGGGUGGAAAGAAUUUUGGUCAAGGAUGAGCUCGCGGCCUAUCAGCUAGUUGGUGAGGUAAUGGCUCACCAAGGCGACGACGGGUAGCCGGCCUGAGAGGGUGACCGGCCACACUGGGACUGAGACACGGCCCAGACUCCUACGGGAGGCAGCAGUGGGGAAUAUUGCACAAUGGGCGCAAGCCUGAUGCAGCAACGCCGCGUGAGGGACGAAGGCCUUCGGGUUGUAAACCUCUUUUAGUAGGGAAGAAGCGACUGGGUUUUCCUGGGAGUGACGGUACCUGCAGAAAAAGCACCGGCUAACUACGUGCCAGCAGCCGCGGUAAUACGUAGGGUGCAAGCGUUGUCCGGAAUUAUUGGGCGUAAAGAGCUCGUAGGCGGUUUGUCGCGUCUGCUGUGAAAACCCGAGGCUCAACCUCGGGCCUGCAGUGGGUACGGGCAGACUAGAGUGCGGUAGGGGAGAUUGGAAUUCCUGGUGUAGCGGUGGAAUGCGCAGAUAUCAGGAGGAACACCAAUGGCGAAGGCAGAUCUCUGGGCCGUAACUGA
rnacentral:rRNA from 1 species